UACGUAGGAGGCAAGCGUUGUCCGGAAUUACUGGGCGUAAAGCGCGUGUAGGUGGUGGGACAAGUCUGCUGUGAAAGCGCCUGGCUUAACCGGGCGAGGUCGGCGGAAACUGUCCGACUCGAGGACGGUAGAGGGGGGUGGAAUUCCCGGUGUAGUGGUGAAAUGCGUAGCGAUCGGGAGGAACACCUGUGGCGAAGGCGGCCCCCUGGGCCGGCCCUGACACUGAGACGCGAAGGCGUGGGGAGCGAACGGG
rnacentral:rRNA from 1 species